rnacentral:rRNA from 1 species
GACGAACGCUGGCGGCGUGCCUAAUACAUGCAAGCAGAACGCACAGUUUAUACCGUAGCUUGCUACACCAUAGACUGUGAGUUGCGAACGGGUGAGUAACGCGUAGGUAACCUGCCUGGUAGCGGGGGAUAACUAUUGGAAACGAUAGCUAAUACCGCAUAAUAUUGAUUAUUGCAUGAUAAUUGAUUGAAAGAUGCUAUUGCAUCACUACCAGAUGGACCUGCGUUGUAUUAGCUAGUAGGUGAGGUAACGGCUCACCUAGGCGACGAUACAUAGCCGACCUGAGAGGGUGAUCGGCCACACUGAGACUGAGACACGGCCCAGACUCCUACGGGAGGCAGCAGUAGGGAAUCUUCGGCAAUGGACGAAAGUCUGACCGAGCAACGCCGCGUGAGUGAAGAAGGUUUUCGGAUCGUAAAGCUCUGUUGUAAGAGAAGAACGGGUGUGAGAGUGGAAAGUUCACACUGUGACGGUAUCUGACCAGAAAGGGACGGCUAACUACGUG